UUCUUGUUUAUUUAUUUGUUAAAAGCAAUGUCACGUUUUAUGUGAGAGGUGUGGGAGUCGACGUCUUGGCAGUCAACAGACUCGCUUGCCUUCACGAGAACUUCCUCACAGGUUCAGGAGGCCUGAAGGAUGACAUACCCCGAGAUGAAGUGUGCAGAAGACGGACCUUCUUUCUGUAUCCCAUUAACAUCACCUCAUAAAAUGCUCCUACACGACAUGAGCAAACUGACACCCAUGUGUUAGCUGGCUCAGCUUUCUGCCGGGACGUCCUGGCCGGAGGGAAACGCACCAUUUCCAGCGUGCUGUGAUAGUAGCGAAGUGCAAAUUGAUCUCAAAGAGCAGCUCGAGAUUCCACAGGCUUACAGCCUUAUGCACCCUCUCCGAGCUGAGUCACUUUUUCUCUCAGCCUCUGUGCAGGCUAUUACCUGCCCCUCACCAAAAUGCGGGACGAUACAGACCGUUUAUUGAGUUUCACUGUGUGAUUUCCAUGUGACAUUAUAAUAAGGGAGAGAAUCUGCUGUGAUCAUGAAGCAGGCUCAGGUUUUGCUCUGACUGGCCAAGCUCAAGCUAAGAACGCCUACAGGGUAAUACAAUCAUGUCCAGAAGAACCGGACGACGUACUAGAAAGUUUUGGGACUGAUAUUGAUAUUUGACAACACAACUUUGUCUCAGAGGUCUCCUGACAAACUCUGAAAAGACAUAACCUCAAGCAGGGGAACUUCAUUCAGUGUUCACAAGGCUGACAUUGACUCGUGGACGUGACAAAAAACAGUCCGUUUCAGAGCAGAAUGAAGUCACGUCUUUGAAAAGAGCUGGUUUGAAAGAGCAAACAUACAUUGCAUCAAUGAAAGGAAAGCGUGUAUUUACUCAACCGCUUAUUAACAUAAAUCACAUAUAGUGUGUUUCGCAUUAAGUUACACAAGAUCUUUUGACAAUUCUUUUGACAAGACCACAAAUCUAAAUAGCUAAAUUAGGAACCUGCAUUUGAAAAGGAGAGUCUGAAAAGCAUUUCACAAUAAGGCUUUCUUAUUCUCCGUAUGCGUUCUGUUAUAUUAAGAGCGUGCAUGU